UUUGAGGAUGCGGUCGCGCGCCGUGCCGUGUCAUCUGUCUGUUUUGAUCCAAACGGACACGGGCGGACAUGAUAGGGUCGCGCGUUGAUGGUGGCCUAAAGCAUGAUCCAUCUGGUUCUUGCUGUUCUUUUUUCUAUCGUUCUUACAGUUUAUUUUAGGGGAAACGGAUGGAGGAAUGGCUGUUUUUUUCAUUUUGAAGGAAACGAAGUCGGCAUGCUGUGCGUCGCUGGAUUUGCUGGGAGCACAGAUGGGAGUACGACUCGGGAGCAGGUAAGCCACAUCCAUUUGCUGUUGUUUCUCUUUUCCUUUUAGCUAAAACAUUCCGUAAUAAUAUGGUGGAAACAGAAACAUAUGCUAUACCUUCGUUAUAGAUCCUGACGGCAAAAAAUCUUGUUUAAAUUAUGGAUGAAAGUCUGCUUUGUGGUUUUUUCUACUUGAUCUGAUGGCUGUUGAUCGGGAAAUGGUAUGACGUGCAUAUCUGACUCGCCGUUCUAUAGAAGUUAAUUAAUAGUAUUGGUCCCUUCUUCACCACGAAUCAUAUUAAUCAAUUACUUUUUUUGAGGGAAAUAUUAAUCAGUUGCAAUUAAUGUUUCCUUAUCUUAUUCUCUGUCCAUUAUAAAAGGAGCAUCAUUUGCCAUUGAGUACCACACUCAACAGCCCAAAGAUCACAAAAACGCCAUUGUAGCUACUCAAUCCUAGCAUUAAGUUUGUAACAAGAAAUGAGGAGCACACAAAUCCUAUUCCUGGCAUUUGCCUUCUUGAUGCUAUCGUCAGCUAUGGCAACUUCUAAGCCAGUAUGCAACCAUAUCCUCAAAAAGGGACAUUGUAACAACAAUGAUUGCCGAGCGUACUGCAAGAAGUUCAUCCCCCCACCCGGUGGCCCAUCUCCCAAGUACAUACCCGAGGGAUGCCAAUGUUAUGUAUGCGGAUGACUACCACUAAACCUGGAAUCUAGCUAGAUAAAAAAUUCAUAUACAUGGAUGUAUCACAGUUGCUUGAGUAAUGAAUAAUGAUUUGAGUAA